rnacentral:rRNA from 1 species
GAUGAACGCUGGCGGCGUGCCUAAUACAUGCAAGUCGAGCGAACAGACGAGGAGCUUGCUCCUCUGACGUUAGCGGCGGACGGGUGAGUAACACGUGGAUAACCUACCUAUAAGACUGGGAUAACUUCGGGAAACCGGAGCUAAUACCGGAUAAUAUAUUGAACCGCAUGGUUCAAUAGUGAAAGACGGUUUUGCUGUCACUUAUAGAUGGAUCCGCGCCGCAUUAGCUAGUUGGUAAGGUAACGGCUUACCAAGGCAACGAUGCGUAGCCGACCUGAGAGGGUGAUCGGCCACACUGGAACUGAGACACGGUCCAGACUCCUACGGGAGGCAGCAGUAGGGAAUCUUCCGCAAUGGGCGAAAGCCUGACUGAGCAACGCCGCGUAAGUGAUGAAGGUCUUCGGAUCGUAAAACUCUGUUAUUAGGGAAGAACAAAUGUGUAAGUAACUAUGCACGUCUUGACGGUACCUAAUCAGAAAGCCACGGCUAACUACGUG